AUAGGAUGUUCUUUGAGUACAG
rnacentral:miRNA from 1 species